rnacentral:lncRNA from 1 species
AUUGUUCUUAAGGAGUUUUAUUUGGGCUGUGGUUUGUCUGAGCAUUUAACGCUGCACUUGAGUGGGGGCAGACUAGAACCUCCUGCAGGCUGAACCUGUGCUCUUGUGAGGACCACUUGCAAGCCAAUAACAGGCCCAGGAAACACAUUUUAUCUGGCUGUGGCUGAGCUGUCGGGAGUAAAUGGAAGAUCUUAGGUGCUUCUGGCAGAAGUGCCACACCACUCUUCAAGCUUCUUCAUCUGCCAAUCAGUUACCUAGAUCACCUAUUGCUGCUUCUGAAAAUCCUGGCUGAUGUCCCCUGAGAUGUAUUAUAGCCACCUCCUGGGGUAGAUUCACCACUUUCAAUAGCCCACCCUCAUGGGCUAAUGCUUUUCCUCUACAAAUUAACAAUCCUGUUAUCUUUUGGCACCAUUUGGCCUUACACUCCAUAAAAAAAUAAAUCAAAUCACUUGUUUUGGUUUAACCUGGCAGGUGGUCCAGCACCACACAGUCGUCUGCCCACUUGCCCUCCCUUUCCCAGUGUGACUGGGGAGAGAAUUUAUUAAAAAAAAAAAAAAAAAAAAAAAAAAAAAGCAGAGCUUGUGGAUUGAGUCAACCAUUCACUAAGAUAGAGAAAAUGACCAAUGCUAGACCCUGAACAGCAGAGGGGAUAGAUAAACUCCCACUCCUUUCAAAAUUCCUUCUGUAUGAUGCCAUACAGUAUGGAUUUAAGUC